UACGUAGGUGGCAAGCGUUGUCCGGAAUCACUGGGCGUAAAGCGCGCGCAGGCGGCGAUCUACGUCUGGGGUGAAGGCCCGGAGCUCAACUCCGGGACUGCCUUGGAUACGGGAUCGCUUGAGGAUUGGAGAGGCAAGGGGAAUUCCACGUGUAGCGGUGAAAUGCGUAGAUAUGUGGAGGAACACCUGUGGCGAAGGCGCCUUGCUGGCCAAUUUCUGACGCUGAGGCGCGAAAGCGUGGGGAGCAAACAGG
rnacentral:rRNA from 1 species